rnacentral:rRNA from 1 species
GACGUAGGAGGCGAGCGUUAUCCGGAUUCACUGGGCGUAAAGCGCAUGUAGGCGGUUGGACAAGUCGUGUGUUAAAGCCCCUGGCUCAACUGGGGGAGGUCAUGCGAGACUGUGCGACUUGAGGGCAAGAGAGGCACGUGGAACUCCCGGUGUAGCGGUGGAAUGCGUAGAGAUCGGGAAGAACCUCGAAAGCGAAGGCAGCCGACUGGGUGAUGAGUGACGCUGAGGGACGAAAGCGUGGGGAGCGAACAGG